rnacentral:rRNA from 1 species
GGUAUUUUGACCGUGCAAAGGUAGCAUAAUCAUUAGUUUUUUAAUUGAAAGCUGGAAUGAAAGGUUGGAUGAAAAAUAAGCUGUCUCUAUUUAAUUUUAUUAGAAUUUUAUUUUUAAGUUAAAAAGCUUAAAUUUAAAUAGAAGACGAGAAGACCCUAUAGAGUUUAAUUUAUUUUUAAAAUAAGAUUAUUGGUAUUUAUUAUUUUUAUUAUAGUAAUGAAUUUAGUUGGGGUGAUUGAAAAAUUUAAUAAACUUUUUUUACAUAUGAACAUUAAUUUAUGAUUUGUUGAUCCUUUUUUUAAGAUUAAAAGAUAAAAUUACCUUAGGGAUAACAGCGUAAUUUUUUUUAAGAGUUCAAAUCGAAAGAAAAGAUUGCGACCUCGAUGUUGGAUUAAAAUAAAAUUUUGGUGUAGAAGCUAAAA